ACUCUCUUCUUCAGCACAUUCUCACACUAGAAUCAGAGCGCUCCCCUCAACGGCCUCUUUCCCUCUUGAGCGUUCGUUGCCGAAAUCGAAUUCUCGACCAUUACCAGGCGAUCGGAGGAAGAUGGCCUCUUUCCUCUUGAGCGUUCGUUGCUGAAAUCGAACGCUCGACCAUUACCAGGCGAUCGGAGGAAGAUGGCCUCUUUCCUCUUGAGCGUUCGUUGCCGAAAUCGAACGCUCGACCAUUACCAGGCGAUCGGAGGAAGGGAGAGCAGAAUCGAAAGAAGUUUCUCGCCUCCUCAAAAAUAGAGAUGAGAGGAGCUCGUAUGUCACUCAGACUGGUUCCGACAACAGAGAGGGGAAGCACAAAGCAAUUACUCUUGAAGCAGUUGGUCCUCUCACUGCCGGUGGGGUUUUCGCAUCUGCUAGGACUACUGGUAGAAGAAAGAAUUUGGUCGGUCGAAGAGGGAAAAUGCGGGUUAUAAGGAAGAAUUUGGUCUGCUGAAGAGGAAAAGAUGGAAAUGGAGGACAUGGAGGGAGAUAAUAAAGUUGAGGGCAUUCUACAAGGAAUCAAACUCCGGUUGCUACUUUCAACGCUCCAUCAGACAGAGCUUAGACCAUUCUUGAUGGUGGGAGCGUGCUGAGCUAUGCAGUUGCAAGAGGCAUCCCUAUGUCAAGUCUUUUCCUUUUAUGUUGUUCUUAAUAUUAUUUUAAUGUUAUUUAUCUCGAAACUCAUGUUAUUUUGUAACUGCUUUUGAUGUUGACGCCGUAGAAUAUUUUGUACUUUAAAUUAAUAUUAGGUCAGUUUUAAAUGCAUGUUUGAUUUUUCU